AACAAUUCUAGUUGUCCAGUGUUUGAUUUGUAAAACUGUUUCAAGUACAGGACAAACUGGAGGCAAGGGACAUGACAA
rnacentral:pre_miRNA from 1 species